AAUGAACGCUGGCGGCGUGCUUAACACAUGCAAGUCGUACGAGAAAGUUGGCCUUCGGGCUGAUGAGUAAAGUGGCGCACGGGUGAGUAACGCGUGGGUAAUCUACCUAUAAGACUGGAAUAACGUUCCGAAAGGGGCGCUAAUACGGGAUAAGACCACAGGCGCUUAGGCGCAAGGGGUAAAAGGGGCUGCAAGGCCUCGCUUAUAGAUGAGCCUGCGUGACAUUAGAUUGAUGGUGGGGUAAUGGCCUACCAUAUUGUCUACGAUGUCUAGCUGGUCUGAGAGGAUGAUCAGCCACACUGGGACUGGAACACGGCCCAGACUCCUACGGGAGGCAGCAGUGAGGAAUUUUGCGCAAUGGGGGAAACCCUGACGCAGCAACGCCGCGUGAGUGAUGAAGGCCUUUUGGUUGUAAAGCUCUGUCGCCUGGAAAGAAACCGCAGAUCAGGAAAUGGGUCUGCGCUGACGGUACCAGGAAAGGAAGGACCGGCUAACUCCGUGCCAGCAGCCGCAGUAAAAC
rnacentral:rRNA from 1 species